rnacentral:rRNA from 1 species
GAAGUUGCAAAGAACUUUGAAGAGAGAGUUCAAGAGGGCGUGAAACCGCUGAGAUGGAAACGGAUAGAGUUAACGGAACUUGGCGACAUUCAACCGGUUACCUCAGCGGCCUUGCGGCUUUGUGCCUCGACGAGGGCAAAGACGUGAAAAGCUGCAGAGUUCUUGACUGGUGUAUUUGCCGUCGGUAUGCGCCGAGAAACUCGCCGUCAUGCGUUAGCACAUGUGUAGUGGACCACUCCCUUCGGGUGUGGAACCCUGCGCAUGCCGAGGCGUAUUGAUGGUGAAGGGAUAGGCGUUGACGUCUCCGCCGUAGCGCGACGACCGCUGCUGAUUGGCGUGGCCUUUGGGCGGUCGCAUGCGACUUGCCUAUGGUUUUCGUUGGUCGGUAGUGGUGCGGUUGCGUUGAGACGCGCAAAUCUCGGUGUGAAAGUUGACCACCUAUCCGACCCGUCUUGAAACACGGACCAAGGAGUCUAGCAUAUGCGCGAGUCAUUGGGUGGAAAACCUAAAGGCACAAUGAAAGUAAAGGUCGUCUUGAUGCGGCUGAUAUGGGAUCCACACGGUUUCGGCCGUGCGGCGCACCAUAGCCCCGUCCCCGUUGCUUGCAAUAGGGCGGAGGUAGAGCGCAUACGCUGGGACCCGAAAGAUGGUGAACUAUGCCUGAGCAGGAUGAAGCCAGAGGAAACUCUGGUGGAGGUCCGAAGCGGUUCUGACGUGCAAAUCGAUCGUCUGACUUGGGUAUAGGGGCGAAAGACUAAUCGAACCAUCUAUAC